CUAUAGCCCUGAUGGGAGUGUUAUCCUUUUGUGAAACAAAAGAUAUAACGUACAGCAGGAACAAGG
rnacentral:sRNA from 1 species